rnacentral:misc_RNA from 1 species
GGAUUCCGUCGCCGGAAAUAUAUCUUGCUCCGGCACUGGCCACGGCCACAUCGCGUGAGAGGAAUUAUGGCUACGGUUGAUGUGAUCAAGUGCUGUAUGGAUUCCAUUAGACAAAUAUCAGAUGAAAUUAGAGAAGCCAUAGUUUAUCUGGAUGCAGGGUGUACCGAAAGCUUUGAAUAUGUUGGCGCAUUCUCUCUGUUUUUGGAGCUUGGUGCACAUGCCAUUUGCAGCUUGGAGAAAAUGUCUCCUCUUGAUAAGGUGGUUGAUUGGAAUUCGACUUCUGGGCCUGCAAAGAAAAUUGUUGUUAUCACGUCACGUCUUCUAAGUGAUGCACAUAGAUACAUUUUACGUUGUCUGAGUGCAUUUCAGACUCUGCGCAGCUGUGCUAUAUUUACAUGCAUUUCAGAGACAGGUCACUCAG